rnacentral:lncRNA from 1 species
AUGGCUGGAGCGAGGGGGGAAGGCAAGUGGGGAGGGGAGUGGGGGGAGCAGCGUGAUGGGGGGGUCCCGGCGCUGAGUGGGGUGGGCGCACUGCAGAGCCGUCCGGGGAGAGCACGGAGAGGCCCUGGAGGAGCGCACGGAGCUCCCCACGCCGAGCCCCCCGCCCCGGCUGCUAGUGGGUCGGGGGGCAGCGAGGCCCCUCUGUUCACCACCCCUCCCCCCCCCGUUCCCCACCGCCAUCCUAUGGGGCCGAGGCCGCCCCUCCCGGGCUCGGUGCAGGCGGAGGAGGGCUGCGGGCCGAGAGGAAGGAGCACAGGAGGAGGAGGAGGAGGAAGGAUCUCUUCCCGACGGCGCUUACCUGUUCCGUGCUCCGGAGGGCUGGGCCGGCCACGCGAGCCGGGAGCGGACCGGGACCGAACCGGGACCGGGGCCGGUGCCGGGGAUGGGCCGGGGGAGGGCGUCAGGAAUGCGAGAGCGCUGCGAGCUCCGGAGUCCGCGCAGGGAAUCAGGCUCAGGGACGGGAAAGUUUAUGCAAGGGAGGAGCAGAAAGUUGGGAGUCAAUCAGGAGGCGGAGGGGCAGGGCCGACCCUCCUCCCCCGGCCUUCCUCCCUCCCUCCUCUCCCGGUGCUCUUCCCUCCCUCCUCCCGGGUACUCCCGCCCAGUCGGGUCCCGAUCUCCGGUCCCGUCGCGGUCUGGGGACACGGAGGGGUUCGCCCCCCCCCCCGAGCACAGCACUACGGGAAAAGAAGGGGCAGCGCAGCUUCGGCUCCGGGAGGGACUUCUCGGAGCCUUCAUCCUCCUCCUCCCGCAGUUCGGAGUGCUCCUUCCCUGUGCCAGCCUUCACUGGCACUGUGCAUAUCCUCAUCUUCCUGUGCCAGCUUCCUGCACACCCCCGUUCCUUCCAUCACAUCUUCAUCCCAUAAACACCUUCACCCCCAGUAUACAUCUUCACCCCCUGCACACACCUUCACCCCUUUCCCUACACUUCUAUCACUUUCCACAUACCCCUAUGCCACACACCUUCAUUGUCCUCCUCCCCCUCAUCAUCCUCACACCCUCAUCUUUCUCCAAACACCUUCAUCCCCACCUUCAUCUCAUUCUCACACCUUCAUCCUCCUCCAGACACCUUCAUCUUAUUCCUUGCUCUCAUAUCCUUAUCCCCAUCCUAGACCCUCAUCUCUCUCCAAAUGCCUUCAUCCCCAUUCUCAUAAUCGUUAUCCUCACAUCCUCAUCUUCCCCCAAACACUUUCAUUCACUUCCAAACACCUUCAUCCUUUUCCUCAUCUCCCUCCUCCCCCUCCCCUCCUACAUCCUCACCCCCUCAUCUCCCUCCAAACACCUUCAUCCCUUCCAAAAUACUUCCAUCCUUAUCCUCAUACCCCACUGGACCCUCAUUCCUGUCCAAACACCUCCACCCCCCUCCUCACCCCCACCUUCACACCUUCAUCCCUUGCUGCACUCCCCCACACACCCACAAUCCCCCACUUCCCUGACACCCAUCCUUCCCCAUAG